rnacentral:rRNA from 1 species
AUUGAACGCUGGCGGCAUGCCUAACACAUGCAAGUCGAACGAGUGGCGGACGGGUGAGUAAUGUCUGGGAACCUGCCCGAUGGCGGCGGAUAACUACUGGAAACCGUAGCUAAUACCGCAUACCAUCGGAUGUGCCCUGGUGGGAUUAGCUAGUCGGUGGGGUAACGGCUCACCUAGGCGACGAUCCCUAGCUGGGCUGAGAGGAUGACCAGCCACACUGGAACUGAGACACGGUCCAGACUCCUACGGGAGGCAGCAGUGGGGAAUAUUGCACAAUGGGCGAAAGCCUGAUGGAGCAAUGCCGCGUGAAUGAAGAAGGCCGUCGGGUUGGAAAGCACUUUCAGCGGGGAGGCGUUACUCAAAGAGGAAGCACCGGCUAACUACGUGCCAGCAGCCGCGGUAAUUC